rnacentral:ncRNA from 1 species
UACACUCGCACGCGUUUCGGUGCUCGCGCGCGCCCGCCGGCGUGCGCAGUUAAACGGGAAGCAGGGAGCCUGGCUGCACCGCAGUCGCGCCAACCUGUGCUGCCCCCGCAACGGUAAGCGAACGCAUUGCGCCCGCCGCGAUGCAGCGCCGCUUCGCCGCAUGCCUCCCGCGCAUGCGGACGACCGCCACUGGACGCGUGAUGCGUCCGGGAAGGCGAAGCGGCGUGUUCGUCAGCCCGGAUACCGGCCGAGACGAGGGGUUCAGC